ensembl:lncRNA
GUUAAUUUUGGAUCCUGCACAAAGGUCCAAGGCAGCAGCAACCCAAAAGUGCUGGUUUCUUUUUUCCCUUGAGGAAAUUAGCCCUGAGCUAACUACUGCCAAUUUUGCUCUUUUUGCUGAGGAACACUGGCCCUGAGCUAACAUCCAUGCCCAUCUUCCUCUACUUUAUACGUGGGACGCCUACCACAGCAUGGCUUUUGCCAAGCGGUGCCAUGUCCGCACCUGGGAUCUGAACCAGUGAACCCUAGGCCACUGAGAAGCGGACCGUGCGCACUUAACCGCUGCGCCACUGGGCGGCCCCACGUGCUGGUUUCUGGAUGAAAUCAGAAACUAAGUGGCUGUCGGUCCCAUGACAACCUGAAUGGGAGCCCAUCCCUGAAUACCGGGCACUGUGGUUUCUGCAGCCCUCCCACCCUGAUGGAGGCCACGCUCCUCUGCUCCACUUGCCUCAGACCAGUGGAGGGAUCCAAACACCGCCAGCCCCUGUGUCCUCACAAACCAGAACCCUCCCCCUGUCACCUGCUCAGUGCCUUGGGCAGCCAAGGAAGCAGGGCAUCCCAGUCUGCCUACUCCCGGGCCUGUACGUAUCCAGGACCCACGGGGCUUGGCAGGACUCCUGCCCUGACACCCGGGUGAGAGACGCCCUGAAUCUCCGCCUAUAAGAAGAAAGUCUGUGCUGCUUUGCACAAGUUGAUGUCCCCGUUUUGCAGUUGCUAUCUUGCAGAGAAACUCCUAUGUUUGCAGCAAGACCCUCUGAAAAAUGUUCCAGCACCAAGCAUCCUAAAGUUACCUUUAGCUCAUUAGCAUCUUAAAUUCUCCUCUGGGAGGGUCCUAGCAGCCAUUGUCAGAUCAUGCCAUGUUAUGCAGCAGCAUGUUUACCUGCUAAGCAUGCGCCCUGAAUAAGCAUGGUUGUUAGAAAUAAACCUGUUACCCUCUCUCCUGUAGAAAGCCUCCGUCGGCACUGAGCUCAGGGAGACACUGCUUCUGGGGGCGAUCCCUGGUGUUCUCCACGGCGUGUCAAGCAAGAAAACUUUUCUUCACCUGCUUCUGCUUUGGUUGUUCCUUUCGGUUCUACGCUCACCAAGAGACGAACCCUCUGAGUUCAGUUACACAAGGGCCCACAGGAGCUUGUGUGCACUCCGCCCUCCCCUCCUUGGUGAAAAGCUCCUGCAGUCUGGGCCUCUCUGUGCCAUGGUGGAGGCCCUGGUGUUUCUAGACACACCUAACCACAGUUCAACAGUUUGGAAUACUUUUUUUUCACUCAAGGGACCUAGGAGGGAGUGAAUUAAAAUUGUAAAUGGCUGUUGAUUCUAGAUUCCUUAAUUAAACAUUAAGGGAGGGAGGAUUUUAGCUUUUAAAAGUAUACCCUGCUUACCUCGGUCAGCAUUUUCAGUCUAAGUGAGUAGAAUUUAGAAGCUUACCAGCUUCUCCUUUCCUGGGGGUGGCAGCGCUUAGCAACAUGGCAGAGCAUCUGAGGCUUUGCCAAGUGUUCCUUCCGUAAGUGCCCAGGUGGACUGUGUGAACUCAAUGACGUAUAGAAUGACUUUGGUACGAAGAAAAUGUUUCGAUGUAUCUGCAUUUAGUAGGGUAAACUGUUUUAUCCUUGCUAUUUAAAAAUCUCACAAGAUACUGUGCUCUGUGGCAGCAUAUAUAUGCAAAUCAAACCUC